ensembl:snoRNA
UGGACUGAUGAUGACCACCGGUGGCAUAUGAGCUGUCCAUGAUGGAUGCAUGUCUGAAACUCUGAGGUCCAG